AUAGGUGGCAAACGUUAUCCGGAAUUAUUGGGCGUAAAGGAUGCGUAGAUGGUAGAAUAAGUUACUGGUCGAUGCCAAACUCAAUUUGACGGAAACUGGUAAUACUGUUCUGCUAGAGGGCAGGAGAGGUUGAUGGAAUUCUGUGUGGAGCGGUGAAAUGCGUUGAUCUACAGAGGAACACCAAAAAAGGCGAAGGCAGUCAACUAUUCUGUUCCUGACAUUGAGGCAUGAAAGCGUGGGGAGCAAACCGGAUUAGAUACCCGGGUAGUCCACGCCCUAAACGAUGAGCAUUAGAUAUUAAGCGGUGCUUAGUGUCGUCGCUAACGCUUUAAAUGCUCCGCCUGGGGUACUACGGUCGCAAGGCUA
rnacentral:rRNA from 1 species